UACGAAGGGUGCAAGCGUUGUUCGGAAUUAUUGGGCGUAAAGGGUGCGUAGGCGGGAACAUGGGUCGAUUGUGAAAGCCCCGGGCUCAACCUGGGAAUGGCAGUCGAAACUGUGUUUCUUGAAUGCCUGAGAGGAUGGCGGAGUAACCGGUGUAGUAGUGAAAUACGUAGAUAUCGGUUAGAACAACUGAGGCGAAGGCGGCUAUCUGGCAGUGCAGUGACGCUGAGGCACGAAAGCGUGGGGAGCAAACAGG
rnacentral:rRNA from 1 species